rnacentral:rRNA from 1 species
UAAUACGGAGGGUGCAAGCGUUAUCCGGAUUCACUGGGUUUAAAGGGUGCGUAGGUGGAUUGGGAAGUCAGCGGUGAAAUACUCCGACUUAAUCGGAGAACUGCCGAUGAUACUAUCAAUCUUGAAUACGGUGGAGGCGGGCGGAAUGCGUCAUGUAGUAGUGAAAUACUUAGAUAUGACGCAGAACACCUAUUGCGAAGGCAGCUCGCUACGCCGGCAUUGACACUGAGGCACGAAAGCGUGGGGAUCAAACAGGAUUAGAUACCCUGGUAGUCCACGCCCUAAACGAUGUUCACUCGAUCUCAGCGAUACACUGUUGGGGUCUAUGCAAAAGCAUUAAGUGAACCACCUGGGGAGUACGAUCGCAAGAUUG